AAGAACUCCUAACUCCAAGGGAGGAAGGAGGUGAUGGCCGGAAGAACAUGGCAGAGGGCAAAACAAAACAGCAUUGGGAACAAGCUCUGUUUAAAAGGAGACUUGUGAACAGCAAAGAGUAGAAAGGGUUCUCUUACAACUGAAGCCCAUGGAAGACAAAUGUGUACUGCGUGAGUUUUAAGGCAAUAGGAGUAGUGGGACCUAGGGCACACCAGAGAGCAUAUUAACUCUCAAACUUUUAAAAACAUUAUAUCUGCUGGACACAGUGGCUCACACCUUAAUCCUACAACUUUGGGAGGCCGAGGCGGGCGGGUGUAGCUUGAGCCCAGGAGUUCGAGACCAACCUGGGCAACAUGGCAAAAUCCCGUCCCUACAAAACAAACAAACAAAAAACAAAAUUAGCCAGGCACGGUGAUGCGUACCUGUGGUCCCAGCUACUCAGAGGCUGAGGUGGGAGGAUCGCUUGAGCCCCGGGAGGUUAAGGCUGCAGUGAGCCAUGAUAAUGCCACUGCAUCUCAGCCUGGGCAACAGAGGGAGAACCUGUCUCAAAACAAAAACAAAAACACACCAUACCCAACCACAAUGCAUCUGUCUUAAGUACCAGUACCACACCCCUCUACUCACUACUAAAUAGGUGAGUUCCCAAUCCCUGGUAGCAGGUUUAAGCAUGUUAUAUUAAAGGUCUUAGGCUAGUGACUCAUUCACUCAUUAAACAAAUACUUAUUGUGCAUCUACUAUAAACUAAGUACUGUGCUAGGUACAAAAGCAAAUAAUCUAAGCUCUAUAAACUUUACUUUCUUCAUCAACAAAAUGGAGAUGUUUUAGGCAUCUACUCAUCAUUCUGAGCUCCAUCUUUUGUGACUGUAGUUGGCAGAGCUUUUUAUCAGUUUCUCUAAAUAGCUCUACCAGUCCCUGGUGGAUGCUGGCAUGCCCAAAGGAUCCAUCCUGAUGGCCCUGUCUGCUUACCUUACCUGCCUGCCUUUGCAGCACCGCUCUGCUCUUCUGCAGGACUUCCCUUAUCCUUUGGGGUCUUGCUGCUCUUAGGCUGCUCUGCUUGUUUUGAUCUGCUUUGCAUCACAUGUAUGUAAAGGUCCUUUCCUUAUUUACCCAUGACCAAGGUAUUAUGAGAUUCUGGAAUUUCCCCAAACCACAUUGAUUGCUGGGAGAAUAGAAGAAGUGGAUUACAAGUGGAACUUAGAAGGGGAGUAUUCGAGAAGACGUCUCUGCAAAUCCAUUUAGAGAGACCUUUCUCCAGUGGUGACUCAAAGAUGCAGCUCCUUUCAUCCUGUGGCUUGGCCAUCUUCAGCACAUGGCUCCCAAGGAUGUCCUCAGGAUGGUCUCUAAUCCAAGGAGCCUGAAGAGAAAAAAAGGCAUGGAGUAUUGUGAGUGGUAGGUGGUUAUGGACCAGUUAUGGAAGAAUACACAUCACUUUUGCCCACCUUCUACUAACCAGAACUCACACAGCCAUAGACACUGACAAGUAGGACUUAACAAGAAUCUAAUUUUGAGUCUAGGAAUACGACUGUAGCAAAUAUUUAACAGCUUCAAACACAGGUGCAUUGCUAUCACUAUGCUUGGCCCAGGCCUGUCUCCCUUUCCUGCCAUGUCACAGGGGCCAGCAUUUAUGUCUAGAUUGGGUUGGUUGGGAUAUUAAGACAAUAAUGAACCAAUACAACAUCUUGAGCAUAAAACCAACUGAUACAAUGAUGUACAAGUCAGAUGAUUCUGAUGAUUAUGAAUUAUGUCAAUAAAAGAAAUGUGAUAACUAA
rnacentral:lncRNA from 1 species